AUUGAACGCUGGCGGCAGGCCUAACACAUGCAAGUCGAGCGGAUGAAGGGAGCUUGCUCCUGGAUUCAGCGGCGGACGGGUGAGUAAUGCCUAGGAAUCUGCCUGGUAGUGGGGGAUAACGUCCGGAAACGGGCGCUAAUACCGCAUACGUCCUGAGGGAGAAAGUGGGGGAUCUUCGGACCUCACGCUAUCAGAUGAGCCUAGGUCGGAUUAGCUAGUUGGUGGGGUAAAGGCCUACCAAGGCGACGAUCCGUAACGGGUCUGAGGGGAUGAUCAGUCACACUGGAACUGAGACACGGUCCAGACUCCUACGGGAGGCAGCAGUGGGGAAUAUUGGACAAUGGGCGAAAGCCUGAUCCAGCCAUGCCGCGUGUGUGAAGAAGGUCUUCGGAUUGUAAAGCACUUUAAGUUGGGAGGAAGGGCAGUAAGUUAAUACCUUGCUGUUUUGACGUUACCAACAGAAUAAGCACCGGCUAACUUCGUG
rnacentral:rRNA from 1 species